rnacentral:tRNA from 1 species
AUUUACAUAAUUUAUGAAUAGAAUGUUGCACUGAAGAUGCAAAUGAGGUCGCGGAUCUGUAAAUA